GACCCUAUCUGGCUGACUUCAAGAACAAUAAAAGAUCACUUUAGAACUUCGGAAAGACUCGUCUUCUCCUUUCUUUAAACUUGAGGCACUCGUCUGUUUUUACCUUCUUUCCUUUGAACUUAAAACUUUUGUAGUGAUGCAUGACUAGAUAAGUUUUAGAGCUCAUUUUAGCUAGCCCAGGCUUCCCUUUCUGGGAGGCCUAGAAGAGUCGUGAAAUAACCGCGACAUUUGGCGCCCGACCGCGGGGCUCGAAAAGAACCCAUACGCAGUAACGAUUAGAGACAAACAGCCGUGACAUCCUGUGGCGAAGAACAGACAAUCCACUUCAGUGCUGAAGGAAAGGUGAGCAUAAAAACCUUUUUCAAUUUAACUAUUGAAAGGGAAAUUUUGUGUUUUCUUGGUCACAAAGAUGUCAUUGCCUUAGAGGUUAAAAGAAAAUUAAACUUUCAUAAAAGACAAUAUAACCACUAAGUGCAUUUGUAAUUUAAUUGUAUUUGUAAUUGUAAUUGUAAUUGUAUAAUAAGCAGACGAGGGCUGUGAUUUAAAGAAAGAUAUAUACAUAUUUAGAAAUAUGUGUAUAACAUCAUAAAUUGAAAGCAAUUGACCAAAUUUAAUAAAAAUGCCUGAUGGGCAUCUUAGCGUAUAGACGCCUAAAUUCAAGUAAAUUACAAUAAAAUAAUUGUAUGUUAAAUGUCUGUCUAGUGUAUGUUGUAUGUUUCAUCUCCCGGGCGUUAAAGACGGGACACGUGAUAAGGUGCGAUCUCGGAAGCACGACGUUAGACUUGAUAAAAGAACAUGAGAAAAAGAGAAUACAGAAAAAGAAAACAAGUAUAAGGAAACAGAGAAAUAUAAUAAGAGCGACGCCAGAGAGAGACGCGUGCGCUAAAAAGGCCUAAAAGAGUAAGAGAAAAAGGGGACAAGACUCGGACACCCGUCUGUUUAACAGAGGGUAAUAAGAAACUCAAGUCCGUCUCUCUGUUCCAUGAGCGUAAGUUGAGACACUCUAUCCUGACUGUUUACAGCGGAGAUUGGUUUUCACUCGUAGAAAAACGCUUAGUGCAGAACGCCACUGUAACUGACGGAGAGACGAGGGAAAGCUAUUCAAAUCUGACUAGUGGGGUAUAUGUUUUGUGUUGUCUGUUUACAGUCUGUGUUUAAGUAAUGUCUGAGAUCUCCAUAUUUGUUAAAAUAUUAAAAUGAUGGCUGUGCAACAUAGAGGUACCUAUGAUCAUUUUGUGUAAAUUCUUAUUGUCACAUGUAUAUGAGUGUGUCAGUGUUGAAAGGGUUUGUGAUGAUUGACUCCCAGGAGAGAGGUGAUUGCAUGUAUGUAAAUGUUAUUAGAAAUGGUUGAAUUUGAUAUGUGUACAUUAUUGCUGUGCAAUAUUGCUGCAUUGAAUGAACUACACUAAUUAGCACAGAUGUGUGCUGAGAAGAGUUGUUAGAAUAGUUACCUUGCUUGGUAUCUGUUAACGCAAAGCCUAACAGGAAGUUUUGAUAGAGUGUUGAGUGUUGACGGAGAGAGAGAGAGAUAAAUAAAUGACAGAGAUCUCUAGAGACCUGGGAAAGGUAAAUGUUAUGUGUUUGUUUGUCACUGUCUUUGUUUAAAAGCAUAUGCUGUGGUUACCAUCUUGAAUGUUUUUAGUAUAUACAGAGCUCUUAAUAUAUGUAAAUUUAUAAGCACAAAGCAAGAAAAUACACAAGAAUUAAAUAGAUCUAUGACACAAGAGAAAAAGCGCUAACAACAUAAAUGUUUGUUUGUUUGUUUGUCUGUAAACUAUAUGUUUGUUUAUAAACCAUCAUGAGCUUCUUUGAGCCCGAGCAGUACAGCUAAUUUAACGGGACAAAAACAGUUAUUAUAAGUAUAAAAUAUUAUUGAUUCCAUAGACCCCAAUACACUAUAUUAGUGGUAAUAUAACUUUUAUGAGCUCCUGAGCCGAGUCAUAACGGUUGAGGAGACAUAGACUGAGAUAUUCCCGAUAAUGAGCCUUUUGGAGAGACAGAGAUGUUUGCGGUUAAACGCUGAUCAACGAAGAGUGUUGAAAAAUAAGCUCUGAUCUACCUCUAAAGGGACAGAACAGUGAGUGUCACUGAUAAUUAUACUAGUGAAGUGUUCAGUAUUACUUAUCAAUAAAAAUGUGUUAAAAAUGGAUGCUAAUAAUUAUGGAAACAUGCUUAUGAGCUUCAAAUUUAUAUUGUUAGGGUGAUUAUAUAAGAAUUAUGACUAUACUGAGAUUGAAUAUGAUUUAAUGUUUCGGCCCUUGCUCAAUAUGUUUUACAAGUGAAAGUGUUAUUUUCCUUGAAAAGUCGUUGGAAACUUAAGUACGUUACAAUUAAUAGUACGUAAAUUAAUAAUGAAUGUUUAUAUUAGUCUAUGUUUGCAAACAAAGCCAUUACUGCCUAAUAAUAUGUGCGUCUCUUAGUCUAUUCAUUUUUACAGGCAUUCAGUUAACCUCAGUUUGCAGAGGGAAGGAGAGACCGGGGGCGAGAGAGGGGCAGACAGGCCCUCA